rnacentral:rRNA from 1 species
GAUGAACGCUGGCGGCGUGCUUAACACAUGCAAGUCGAGCGGACUUUGUUAGUGGAUCCCUUUCGGGGGUGAAAGUAAUGAAGUUAGCGGCGGACGGGUGCGUAACGCGUGGGUAAUCUGCCCUUGUCACUGGGAUAACACAUCGAAAGGUGUGCUAAUACCAGAUAAUAUGCAAACUCGGCAUCGAGAGUGCAUCAAAGAUUUACGGACAAGGAUGAGCCCGCGUCUGAUUAGCUAGUUGGUGGGGUAAAAGCCUACCAAGGCCACGAUCAGUAGCCGACCUGAGAGGGUGAUCGGCCACACUGGAACUGAGACACGGUCCAGACUCCUACGGGUGGCAG